CCUCAAGUAGUUUUAAAAAAUUUUCAAAUUCGCUAAACAGCUCAACGCUGGAAUUUGGUGGUCUGUACCAUGUUGUAAUUAACUGAGGUUUACUUUUAAAUUUUUUUUUUUUUUUUUAAAUUUCUACGCAAAUCAACUCUAAAUUAUCAGGGAAGAGGUCUUUGCGAAUGGUGUAUGGUAUGUUGCUUCUAAUAUACAUUGCAACACCUCCUCCGCUUCUGUUUCGAUCACGCCUAACAAUAUCA